rnacentral:rRNA from 1 species
UACGGGGGGGGCAAGCGUUGUUCGGAAUUACUGGGCGUAAAGGGCGCGUAGGCGGCCAUCUAAGUCAGACGUGAAAUCCCCCGGCUUAACCUGGGAACUGCGUCUGAUACUGGACGGCUUGAGUAUGGGAGAGGGAUGUAGAAUUCCAGGUGUAGCGGUGAAAUGCGUAGAUAUCUGGAGGAAUACCGGUGGCGAAGGCGGCAUCCUGGACCAUUACUGACGCUGAGGCGCGAAAGCAUGGGGAGCGAACAGG